rnacentral:rRNA from 1 species
GACGAACGCUGGCGGCGUGCCUAAUACAUGCAAGUUGAGCGAUGAAGCUUGGUGCUUGCACCAAUUUGAAGAGCAGCGAACGGGUGAGUAACGCGUGGGGAAUCUGCCUUUGAGCGGGGGACAACAUUUGGAAACGAAUGCUAAUACCGCAUAACAACUUUAAACAUAAGUUUUAAGUUUGAAAGAUGCAAUUGCAUCACUCAAAGAUGAUCCCGCGUUGUAUUAGCUAGUUGGUGAGGUAAAGGCUCACCAAGGCGAUGAUACAUAGCCGACCUGAGAGGGUGAUCGGCCACAGUGGGACUGAGACACGGCCCAAACUCCUACGGGAGGCAGCAGUAGGGAAUCUUCGGCAAUGGACGAAAGUCUGACCGAGCAACGCCGCGUGAGUGAAGAAGGUUGUCGGAUCGUAAAACUCUGUUGGUAGAGAAGAACGUUGGUGAGAGUGGAAAGCUCAUCAAGUGACGGUAACUACCCAGAAAGGGACGGCUAACUACGUG